rnacentral:rRNA from 1 species
AGGACUAACGCUGGCGGCGUGCCUAACACAUGCAAGUCGAACGAGAGUAGCAAUACUCUAGUGGCAGACGGGUGAGUAACACGUGGUCAACCUACCUUUAAGUGGGGGAUAACUAGCCGAAAGGUUAGCUAAAUACCGCAUACGAUCUUCGCGUGGCAUCACAUGAAGAUGAAAGGAGCAAUCCGCUGAAAGACGGGACCGCGUCCCAUUAGCCAGUUGGUGGGGUAACGGCCUACCAAAGCAACGAUGGGUAGCUGGCUUGAGAGAGCGACCAGCCACACUGGGACUGAGACACGGCCCAGACUCCUACGGGAGGCAGCAGUGAGGAAUUUUCCGCAAUGGGCGAAAGCCUGACGGAGCGACGCCGCGUGUGGGAUGAAGGCCUUCGGGUCGUAAACCACUGUCGAAGGGGAAGAGUAUUGACGGUACCCUUGGAGGAAGCCCGGCUAACUACGUGCCAGCAGCCGC